rnacentral:tRNA from 1 species
ACGAGUAUGCCGUAAAUGGUAGCCGGGUGAAUCUUAGGUGUUCAUGAUUUUAUAUCUUUAAGAGUUCAAGUCUCUUUACUCGUA